rnacentral:misc_RNA from 1 species
UUUUACCCAAUAACGUAACUCCCUUUCGCGACUCCGAAGAAAGUUGACUCAAGAAGAGGAAUAAUGCAAGAGAAGGGAGUCCGGAUGGACUCAAAUAAAAUAGUUCAUGUAAAAUUCAAAGAAGAGAGAAAGGAUUAAUAACAAAUAAAUUUAAAGAGAUGCGUAUGAACAACAAGUCUUAACUACAUAUUUGACCUCAUCAAUAGAGAUCAAACAAGAAAGAGAUCACUUGGCCACAUAAAUGUUUCCAUUAAUCGCUACACAACUUCAACUAUAAGAGAUUAACAACAUGGAUCAACUUCAAGCCACAUAAAUUAAUAUUUGUCCAUCAGCCAAGAUUUUUAAAG